AAAGAGUUCAUUGGAAGCUGCUAACUUCCUAUAAAGUUUUGCUUACUCUUUC
rnacentral:tRNA from 1 species